rnacentral:rRNA from 1 species
CCUACGCGUGACAGCAGUGAGGAAUAUUGGUCAAUGGACGGAAGUCUGAACCAGCCAAGUAGCGUGAAGGAAGACUGCCCUAUGAGUUGUAAACUUCUUUUGUAUGAGAAUAAAGUUGAAUACGUGUAUUCAUCUGAAUGUACCGUAUGAAUAAGGAUCGGCUAACUCCGUGCCAGCAGCCGCGGUAAUACGGAGGAUCCGAGCGUUAUCCUGAUUUAUUGGGUUUAAAGGGAGCGUAGGCGGAUUGUUAAGUCAGUGGUGAAAGUUCCGGGCUUAACCCGAGAAUUGCCGUUGAUACUGGCGAUCUAGAGUGCAGUAGCGGUAGGCGGAAUGCGUGGUGUAGCGGUGAAAUGCUUAGAUAUCACGCAGAACACCGAUUGCGAAGGCAGCUUAC